rnacentral:sRNA from 1 species
CUGUUUCAAUUUGCUGCGGAGCGACAAAGUGAAUAUGCGCAUCAAUUCCGCCUGCAGUCACAAUCAUUCCUUCUGCUGCUACAACUUCCGUUGAAGCCCCAAUCACAAUAUCUAUAUCGUCCAUUAGCAAAGGAUUUCCUGCUUUCCCAAUAGCUGAGAUCCAGCCUUCCUUUACACCGAUAUCCGCUUUAAAAAUGCCUGAAUGAUCCAGGAUAACGGCAUUGGUAAUGACAAGAUCCACAGCCUCUUCGCUUGUAGCUAACGGAUGCUGUCCCAUACCAUCCCUG